rnacentral:rRNA from 1 species
UACGAAGGGGGCUAGCGUUGCUCGGAAUGACUGGGCGUAAAGGGCGCGUAGGCGGCACUGUUAGUCAGGCGUGAAAUUCCUGGGCUCAACCUGGGGGCUGCGCUUGAUACGGUAGUGCUAGAGGAUGGAAGAGGGUCGUGGAAUUCCCAGUGUAGAGGUGAAAUUCGUAGAUAUUGGGAAGAACACCGGUGGCGAAGGCGGCGACCUGGUCCAUUUCUGACGCUGAGGCGCGACAGCGUGGGGAGCAAACAGG